rnacentral:rRNA from 1 species
GACGAACGCUGGCGGCGUGCCUAAUACAUGCAAGUCGAACGCAGUGGGGACGGGUGAGUAACACGUGGGUAACCUCCCCAUCAGUGGGGAUAACACUUGGAAACCGGUGCUAAACCGAUACUGUUGGCUGGUCCCGCGGUGCAUUAGCUAGUUGGUGAGGUAACGGCUCACCAGGGCCACGAUGCAUCGCCGGACUGAGAGGGUGAUCAGCCACACUGGGACUGAGACACGGCCCAGACUCCUACGGGAGGCAGCAGUAGGGAAUCUUCGGCAAUGGACGAAAGUCUGACCGAGCAAGGCCGCGUGAGUGAAGAAGGUUUUAGGAUCGUAAAACUCUGUUGUUAGGGAAGCGGUAUCGAAAGAGAAAGCCACGGCUAACUACGUGCCAGCAGCCGCGGUAAUAC